rnacentral:rRNA from 1 species
AGCAGCCGCGGUAAUUCCAGCUCCAAUAGCGUAUAUUAAAGUUGUUGCAGUUAAAAAGCUCGUAGUAGAAUUUCGGGACCAAUCUGCCGGUCGUGCCUCCGGUACGCACUGGUUUUAUUGGUCUCUCCCUUCUGACGAACCAUGAUGUCAUUAAUUUGGUGUCAUGGGGAAUCAGGACUGUUACUUUGAAAAAAUUAGAGUGUUUAAAGCAGGCUCACGCUUGAAUACAUUAGCAUGGAAUAAUGAAAUAGGACGUUUGAUUCUAUUUUGUUGGUUUCUAGGAUCGACGUAAUGAUUAAUAGGGAUAGUUGGGGGCAUUAGUAUUCAAUUGUCAGAGGUGAAAUUCUUGGAUUUAUUGAAGACUAACUACUGCGAAAGCAUUUGCCAAGGAUGUUUUCAUUAAUCAAGAACGAAAGUUAGGGGAUCGAAGACGAUCAGAUACCGUCGUAGUCUUAACCAUAAACUAUGCCGACUAGGGAUCAGAUGAUGUUAAUUUUUUAAUGACUCAUUCGGCGCCUUA